GACGGAGGGGGCUAGCGUUGUUCGGAAUUACUGGGCGUAAAGGGCCAGUAGGCGGCCAACUAAGUCACACGUGAAAUCCCCAGGCUUAACCUGGGAACUGCGUGUGAUACUGGAUGGCUUGAAUUCGGGAGAGGGAUGCAGAAUUCCAGGUGUAGCGGUGAAAUGCGUAGAUAUCUGGAGGAAUACCGGUGGCGAAGGCGGCAUCCUGGACCGUCAUUGACGCUGAACGGCGAAAGCUAGGGGAGCAAACGGG
rnacentral:rRNA from 1 species